AUAUUCUAGUCAGUUCAUUCAAGUGUGAGAAUCGCACCAUUUGCACGCAAUAAAUUUCAAUUAUCAAUAAUAAAUUGUUGAACUUAAAAACAACUAUAAUGAAGAUCGUUAUUGCAUCAGCGGCUAUUUUAUGCUUAUUAAUCGCUACCAGCUGUUACGGACAAAGUCAUAAUGCAUUUUGGGGAGCUCCAGCAUGGAACGAUACCAGAAUAUUUUAUCAACACGUUAAUGUAUCAUCAUCGUUUUUACAAGUCAUCACUCGAGAUGUUGCAUUCCCUAGUGCUGGCUACGUUAAUAACCGGAGGAUAACAGCAAUUCGUGCAUUUGAUCAAAAAACAAACGGAAAUGGUGCAUAUGCAACGAUUAAAUCCGGUGGAAUAAAUGCAACCAGCACCGUUGUAACUUUUAAAUCUCAACGAAGUCAUGGCAUCAACUUUAUUCUGGAAAUUUAUGUUAGGUAGAGAGACUUAGUGAACAAUUCUGAAAUGAAAACAUUAAUUAAGAUUCGAA